rnacentral:misc_RNA from 1 species
AACGCACCUUGCGCUCCUUGGUAUUCCGAGGAGCAUGCCUGUUCGAGUGUCAUUAAAUUUAUCAACCUUUAUUUGACUUUUUGUCAGUAGAGGCUUGGACUUGGGGGUUUAUUUUGUCGGUUUCAUUUAGAAAUCUGCUCCCCUUAAAUGUAUUAGCUGGUGCACUUAGUGGUAUCAUCUAUUGGUGUGAUAAUUAUCUACGCCGUUGGAUGUCUAAUGCGCUGCUUCUAAUCGUCCUUUUGGACAAAUUUGUUAAUGACUAUUUGACCUCGAAUCAGGUAGGACUACCCGCUGAACUUAA